CUUGGUUCCAAGCGUCCCCUGAAGAAAUCAACUUGCUCAUCCAACAUCUGACCAGCCAUAUUUUAUUAAACACACUUAACUUUGUGCUAUAUUCUGCAUUUCCACUUGGUGUCUUCAUAUUGUUGAAAUUUACAUGCAGGAAAGCCAUCUUCUUCAGCUGGUAUCCGCUUUCUAGAACUGCUUGAGAAAGACGAAAUGGCAUUCGACAGCCUUUAUUGUGUAGCCUUUCGAAUGAUGGAUGCUCAAUGGCUUGCAAAACGGGCUUCAUACAUGGAAUUUAACGUAAACUUAACCUACCAUCCUCCACUUUAUGGAUAUAUAUAUAUUUUUUACAUGAACCAUGAUUUAGGCUUAAUUGUUGUUAUAUGAUUUUUUAUUUUUUUUUCAGGAUGUAUUGAAGUCUACAAGAGCACAAUUAGAGCGCGAGCUUAAACUCGAAGAUGUUUCUUGUGUACGAGAUUUACCCGCACACAAUCUGUUGCAUAGAUAGGUAGGUAGAUGAUCAAAUUUGCAUAUUUUGAAUUGUGAAAUAAAAACAUCAGCUGUAGAGGUUGUUUAUUUAAACUGUUGCUGCCAUAAUCUCUGUAACAUUGCAAAUUAUAUAGUUGGUAUCAUAGAAAGAUGUAUAUUUGUUGAACUAAUUUGGUUUCAGGAUCAUUUUUUUCAAUUAUCAAGAUCCGAAAUCUCUUUUAGAUCUCAUUUGUUAAUAAUCAUUUAAUGUUUUAAAGAGUAAUACUAUAUGUCUUAAAUAUUAUGGAUAAAAUUUUACAAAAUUUAAAAUUAUUUAUUACUCACUUUAUAUAAAUAAAAAAUUCCAGAUAAUACUUAAAAGGUUUGACCUUUUUUUUCCUUCAAAAGAACAACAAUUAGGUUAUGAAUAUUUUCAAACUAGCUUUAAAUAAUCUAGAUAUAUAAAUAGUACUUAAUUAACACCAAUCCAUUAUUAUUUGAAAUCUUAUUUGAAAUCUAGUAAUUUUAUUUCACAGUAGCAAUGGAAAAAAGAAAAAAAAAACGAUUCUUUCUAUUUGGAAUGACCAUAUAUCUAAUUUCUAUUAUUUUGGCUGGAUUAUUCCUAACCGUCUAUUUACAAUACAGACGUGGUGAUUAGUCGGAGAGGUGCACAAGACCGAAAUUUCAGCACCACCGUAUAGGGGAAUUAAAAUCCCAUAGUUGCAUGAUUAGCUAAUGCUACUCACAGAACUUCUUACAACACCAAAUAUCUAAUCUCGACUUGAAACAAAUUGGGGGUGAGGGUUAGGGUUAGGGUUUAGCAAAUAGCAAAGGAAGAACCGCAUUUUAACAUUUGUGCAUUUUACGAUUUCAUAGGGAACUUCUGAGUUUUCUUUAUUUUUUCAGAAUAAUAAUAAUCACGAAAUAUUAAAAAAAAUAAUUUUUUUUCUAAAGACCGACUUGGCGUCAGCCUCAAGCUCAACGACUUCUUGGAUUUGUCCGAUUUAGGAAGGUUAUUAAAUGUAAGGACUUUUUACCCAACUCGCAAGUUCACCCGCGUUUCUCGGAGUUGCCUUAGGAAAUUGUAACUUGUAAUCCAAGCUACGUCACUUUACUCCUCCAUAUGUUAAAAGGAAACUUUAACACCCACGCUUCUUACCACUUCUGCUCUAAUUCUCUAACCCUAUCUUUGCUUCUCUCUCGGCUUCCGUGUUCUUUGUUUUCAAUAAUUCACCAAAAAGGUUUCUCCAUCAAUCAUCAAUCAAUCAAUCAACCAACCCACCAUUGAAUUAACCCUCUUCUCCUCAAACAAAAUGCAGGAACACAGAACCUUUCUUCCCCAUGGCUUCCAGUUCAGACCAUCCGAUGAAGAACUCAUCGAACAUUAUCUCAAGAAGAAAGUUUCGGGAAUAUUCAUCCCUCUUGCUGAGUAUUUCAUCAGGGAUUGUAAUCUUUACGAGGAAAAACCCUCUGAGAUUUGGGAUUCUCAUGGAGGAGCCUUUUUAAAUGCUGAUGAGGAUCUUUAUUUCUUCACCCAGUUGAAGAAAAAGUCUUCCAAGGGUUCCAGAAUCGACCGCAAAGUGGGAUCUUCUGGCGGUACGUGGCAAGGGGAGGAUGCUGGUAAAGAUAUAGUAAGCGGCCAAUCCAAAAUCAAAAUCGGCUCCAAGAAGCGGUUUCGUUACGAAAAACAAGGUUGUGAGGAUCACGGGGCUUGGAUCAUGCACGAGUACACUCUACAUAUGCCCAAGAAUCAAGCUACCAAUUAUGUGCUUUGCAGGCUCCGAAAGAAUCAACCAACUGGCCAUGAUAUUAUGAAGUACGGUUCUGCAAAGAAAAGAAAGCUGAAGGGUUUUCAAGACAACAGCAAUCAAUCCGAACAAGUAGCAGAUAUUGGGAUGGAUACGCUGUUGACCCACCAACAGAAUCAACAACAGAACUGUAUGGAUUAUCAAGAAUUAAGCUGCAGCAGUUCUGACAUGAUGAGUGAGCAGAGCUUAGCUGGUGGAAUGGGGCUUGCAAGCAGUGUUUACGAGCCAUCCAUGGAGAUGAUGAUGAGUCAUUUUGAUCAGAUGAUAUGUAACCAACAAUAUGACUCCGGGAACAACAUGCUUCAGGGUGGAGAAACUGGAGAGAAUUAUCAUUGUCAUUCGGAGAGUAUCGUUGAAGUGCCCAUGGCGGUGCCUGAAUCGUUGGUGCAACGCGAAGACAGUGAUGGACUACCUGAGUUAAUUGAGGAAGACUAUUCUUUUCUGGAAGACUUACUUCAAGAACCAAUAGGGGAUGUGCGCGGUUCAUUCGGCUUGAUGCUGGACUUGGAUGAUCUCUUGUCAUAGAUAAUUGGAUUAUGACUUCGAUUUGUAUUGUAACUGUAACAACUUUUCCCCCAUUUACUUUAAUCCUUCCUUCGUAUAUAUUUGUAUUGUUCAGUUUCUCGUAUUCUUUAUUCUCUUGAACUUCAGUGAGUAUGUUUUCUGCAAGCUGAUAGCAGGCAAAGGCAUUCGGUUUGCAUUUAAGCCAAAAUCAUCAUUAAUUAGUUCCAAUCAGUAAAUCUGUUGGUUCAUUCUCUUAUUCCAUUUAUUUAUUUACAACUGAGUUCGUAAAAAAUGAUUGUUUUGAGAAUACAGAUAAAAAUGAUGAGCUAGUUAGAAUCUUUCUAAAAAUCUACUUCUUAAUUUUCAUGUAGCACAGAAUUUUGUUCCUUGUCUAAUAGUAUUUGGCACCUCAUCAUACUGUCAAUCAAUCCUUCAGUAAACCCUUCCACAAAUUUUUAUAUAUGCGUAUAUUUAAGAUUUUAUAGGUACAAGAUGAAAUGGGCUUGUCUCACAUGGCUGAGUUCCUGUUCAUGAAUAAAUGUAUUUGCAUGAUUGAUAAUAUCGUUUUGUUUACGUGAACGGUAUUUUAGGUCUCAUAGAUUUAGAGUUUUUAGGCAAUUUAGAGCCGAACUUUUAGAGAUUUAACACGUUCGAAUAGUUAUGUUUUCAAUUUUUUUUGUGCGUGCGUGUGUGUGUGUGUAAAAAAGGGGAACAAUUGUUUCUUUACAGCCAAGCUAACGAAGAAAAACUUAGAAAGUUGUCCAACUAUUUUUAUUUUAUCUCCAAAAACAAUAAUUUAUUCAUUUAGUGUAAUUAAGCAAAUAAAAAAAUCAUCUGUCAAUUGAAAAUUAAAAAAAAAUUGUAUUGAAAGCAAUUGGAAUUCAAUUCUCUCUUGUUUUAGGAGAUUUUAUAAACUUUUUUUGUCAAUUUCUAUCAUAUAAAGUAUUUGUUUACUAUACAGGUUAAUUAUGUAAAAUCAUUUUUCUUGAUGUGGAUCAAGGCAAAACAAAAUAAAAAGAAUUCUUAUUAGACAUAUACGAUACAUCAAUAAAAUUGGAUCUAAUAGACUUGUAAUUUUUUAUUUUGUUUACCAAUAAUACACCAAUUUUUCAUUCCUAUAUCAAUUUACUUAUUUUAUCUUUCAUUUAUAAGUCUUAUGUUUUAUUUGUUUAAUUUAUAUUUUAUUUUACACUUGUUAUUGAUUUACAAGUUUUAUAUUAAAGUUGUAUUUUUUUUUUUUGGUUUACUCUUGAUACAAUAAUUUAUCAUUUUAUGUUGAUUUACUUGUUUUACCUUUUAUUUAGAAGUCUUAUGUUUUAUUUAGACAAUUUAUGUUCUAUUUAGACAAUUUAUGUUCUAUUUUACAUUUAAUGUUGAUUUACAAAUUUUAUAUUUUAUUUGUAAGUUUUUGUUUUGUUUACUGGUGGAACACCAAUAUACAAUUUUUAUGUUAAUUCACUUCUUUUACCUUUCAUUCAUAAGUUUUAUCUUGCACUUACAUAAUUCAUGUUAAUACAGAUGUUGAAUCUUCAAUCAGGUAAUUAAAGUUCUGAAUAAGUAACAUUUAUUGUAAUCAUUGCGGUUCACUCCUUGAUCCUUAAAGGCUGGGAAACGGCAAAGCCACCCCAGUCAAUUAUGAAGAGCCUUGGUUCCAAGCGUCGCCUUAAGAAAUCAACUUGCUCAUCCAACAUCUGACAAGCCAUAUUUUACAAAACACACUUAGCUUUGUGCUAUAUUCUGCAUUUCAACUUGGUGUCUUCAUAUUGUUGAAUUUUACGUGCAGGAAAGCCAUCUUCUUUAGGUGGUAUCCGCUUUCUAGAACUGCUUGAGAAAGACGAAAUGGCAUUCGACAACCUUUAUUGUGUAGCCUUUCAAAUGAUGGAUGCUCAAUGGCUUGCAAAACGGGAUUCAUAUAUGGAAUUUAACGUAAGCUUAACCUACCAUCCUCCACUUUAUGGAUAUAUAUAUAUAUUUUACAUGAACCAUGAUUUAGGCUUAAUUGUUGUUAUAUGAUUUUUUAUUUUUUUUUUCAGGAUGUAUUGAAGUCUACAAGAGCACAAUUAGAGCGCGAGCUUAAACUCGAAGAUGUUUCUUGUGUACGAGAUUUACCCGCAUACAAUCUGUUGCAUAGAUAGAUAGGUAGAUGAUCAAAUUUGCAUGUUUGGAAUUGUGAAAUAAAAACAUCAACUGUAGAGGUUGUUUAUUUGAACUGUUGCUGCCAUAAUCUCUGUAACAUUGCAAAUUAUAUAGUUGGUAUCAUAGAAAGAUAUAUAUUUGUUGAACUAAUUUGGUUUCAGGAUCAUUUUUUU
rnacentral:lncRNA from 1 species